rnacentral:rRNA from 1 species
GUGCCAGCAGCCGCGGUAAUACAGAGGUGGCAAGCGUUGUUCGGAAUUACUGGGCGUAAAGGGCGCGUAGGCGGCCUUCUAAGUCAGACGUGAAAUCCCCAGGCUUAACUUGGGAACUGCGUCUGAUACUGGAAGGCUUGAAUGCGGGAGAGGGAUGUGGAAUUCCAGGUGUAGCGGUGAAAUGCGUAGAUAUCUGGAGGAACACCGGUGGCGAAGGCGGCAUCCUGGACCGACAUUGACGCUGAGGCGCGAAAGCUAGGGGAGCAAACGGGAUUAGAUACCCCGGUAGUCC